CAUUCAGUAGCCUCGCUACUUGUUUAUACCCUUGUUUUUUUGCGUACUAUUGUUUCCUCGGCGGGCUUGCCUGCCGGUUGGACAAAACUAUAACCUUUUUAAAAUCUUCAAUCAGGCGUCUGAACUAUAUAUAAUAAUUA
rnacentral:misc_RNA from 1 species